CAGUAUAUUAUUAUUCGGUUAUCAAGUAGAGCAGUCGUCUCACAAAACAAAAUGAAGCGCAUAAUAAUAUUAUCGGCCUGGGCAGUAUUGUUAUACAUUUUAUUCAUCAAUAUGGUGAACGGGCAGCAUUUAAUGUCAUCGAAAAGGAUGAUGAAACUUUAUCACGUAAACCGUACACAGAUUAAUACUUAUUAGACCACGGAGCCACCAGCCUUUCAUACUGUCAUCAUCAUAUCAGCCAAUUGUCGUCCAUUGCUAGACCUACGCCUCCCCCAACUAUAAAUAAUAGCUUUUUGGCGCCGUUUGUAAACUAAAAAUAAAAUAAGAUACAAUA
rnacentral:lncRNA from 1 species